UACGGGGGGGGCAAGCGUUGUUCGGAAUUACUGGGCGUAAAGGGCUCGUAGGCGGCCAACUAAGUCUGACGUGAAAUCCCUCGGCUUAACCGGGGAACUGCGUCCGAUACUGGAUGGCUUGAGUGCGGGAGAGGGAUGCGGAAUUCCAGGUGUAGCGGUGAAAUGCGUAGAUAUCUGGAGGAACACCGGUGGCGAAGGCGGCAUCCUGGACCACGACUGACGCUGAGGAGCGAAAGCGUGGGUAGCGAACAGG
rnacentral:rRNA from 1 species